AGUGAACGCUGGCGGUAGGCCUAACACAUGCAAGUCGAACGGCAGCACAGGAGAGCUUGCUCUCUGGGUGGCGAGUGGCGGACGGGUGAGGGAUACAUCGGAAUCUACUUUUUCGUGGGGGAUAACGUAGGGAAACUUACGCUAAUACCGCAUACGACCUACGGGUGGAAGCAGGGGACCUUCGGGCCUUGCGCGAUGGAAUGAGCCGAUGUCGGAUUAGCUAGUUGGCGGGGUAAAGGCCCACCAAGGCGACGAUCCGUAGCUGGUCUGAGAGGAUGAUCAGCCACACUGGAACUGAGACACGGUCCAGACUCCUACGGGAGGCAGCAGUGGGGAAUAUUGGACAAUGGGCGCAAGCCUGAUCCAACCAUACCGCGUGGGUGAAGAAGGCCUUCGGGUUGUAAAGCCCUUUUGUUGGGAAAGAAAUCCAGCCGGUUAAUACCUGGUUGGGAUGACGGUACCCAAAGAAUAAGCACCGGCUAACUUCGUGCCAGCCGCCGCCGUAACAC
rnacentral:rRNA from 1 species